rnacentral:rRNA from 1 species
UACGUAGGGGGCAAGCGUUGUCCGGAAUUAUUGGGCGUAAAGAGUUCGUAGGCGGUUAUCUAAGUCUGGUGUUAAAGCCCGAAGCUCAACUUCGGCAUGGCAUUGGAAACUGGAUAGCUAGAGUGUGGUAGAGGUAUCGGGAAUUCCUGGUGUAGCGGUGAAAUGCGUGGAUAUCAGGAGGAACACCGGUGGCGAAAGCGCGAUACUGGGCCAUAACUGACGCUGAGGAACGAAAGCCAGGGGAGCGAAAGGG